AGGACGAACGCUGGCGGCGUGCUUAACACAUGCAAGUCGAGCGGUAAGGCCUUUCGGGGUACACGAGCGGCGAACGGGUGAGUAACACGUGGGUGAUCUGCCCUGCACUUCGGGAUAAGCCUGGGAAACUGGGUCUAAUACCGGAUAUGACCUCAGGUUGCAUGACUUGGGGGUGGAAAGAUUUAUCGGUGCAGGAUGGGCCCGCGGCCUAUCAGCUUGUUGGUGGGUAAUGGCCUACAAGGCGACGACGGGUAGCCGACCUGAGAGGGUGACCGGCCACACUGGGACUGAGACACGGCCCAGACUCCUACGGGAGGCAGCAGUGGGGAAUAUUACACAAGUGGGACGAAAGCCUAGAUGGCCGGACGACGGACCGCGGUGGAGGGAGUCGACGGCCGUUCGGGUUUACGGUAAACCUUACGUUUCUACGCGAGGGACGGAAGCGCGAAGUGACGGUACCGUACGCGACGAAGAACGACGACCGGACCGUAACUACGUACGACCGA
rnacentral:rRNA from 1 species